rnacentral:tRNA from 1 species
GCGGGGGUUCCCAAGUCUGGUCAAAGGGGCAGGACUUAAGAUCCUGUGGCUUAGUGCCUUCGAGGGUUCAAAUCCCUUCCCCCGCA